rnacentral:rRNA from 1 species
CCGCUGGAAACUAAGCAUAUCAAUAAGCGGAGGAAAAGAAACCAACAGGGAUUGCCCUAGUAACGGCGAGUGAAGCGGCAACAGCUCAAAUUUGAAAUCUGGCUUCGGCCCGAGUUGUAAUUUGCAGAGGAUGUUUAUGGUGCGGUACCUUCCGAGUUCCCUGGAACGGGACGCCACAGAGGGUGAGAGCCCCGUCUGGUUGGAUACCAAACCUGUGUUAAACUCCUUCAACGAGUCGAGUAGUUUGGGAAUGCUGCUCUAAAUGGGAGGUAAAUCUCUUCUAAAGCUAAAUACCGGCCAGAGACCGAUAGCGCACAAGUAGAGUGAUCGAAAGAUGAAAAGCACCUUGAAAAGGGGGUUAAACAGUACGUGAAAUUGUUAAAAGGGAAGCGUUUAUGACCAGACUUGUGUCGUGUGGCUCAUCCGAGGUUCUCCCCGGUGCACUCCACACGGCUCAGGCCAACAUCGGUUUUCGUUGGGGGAUAAGAACAGCAGGAACGUGGCCCUUCUCGGAGGGUGUUAUAGCCUGCUGUACGAUACCCUGAUGGGGACCGAGGACCGCGCUUCGGCUAGGAUGUUGGCGUAAUGGUCAUUAGCGACCCGUCUUGAAACACGGACCAAGGAGUCGUCCAUUAGAGCGAGCGUUUGGGUGUAAAACCCGCACGCGUAAUGAAAGUGAAAUUAGGUGAGAGCUUCGGCGCAUCAUCGACCGAUCCUGAAGUUUACGGAUGGAUUUGAGUAAGAGUUUUAACGGACGGACCCGAAAGACAGUGAACUAUGCUUGAAUAGGGUGAAGCCAGAGGAAACUCUGGUGGAGGCUCGCAGCGGUUCUGACGUGCAAAUCGAUCGUCAAAUUUGAGCAUGGGGGCGAAAGACUAAUCGA